rnacentral:rRNA from 1 species
CCGAAAGGCAGGAGUGCCUGCAAGGGAGCGCGGAGACAGGUGGUGCAUGGCUGUCGUCAGCUCGUGUCGUGAGAUGUUGGGUUAAGUCCCGCAACGAGCGCAACUCUCACCUCUUGUUGCCAUCAGGUCAUGCUGGGCACUCUAGAGGAACUGCCCCGGUCAACGGGGAGGAAGGCGGGGAUGACGUCAAGUCAUCAUGCCCCUUACGUCCUGGGCUACACACGUGCUACAAUGGCCGGUGCAAAGGGAUGCCACACCGCGAGGUACAGCUAAACCCAAAAAGCCGGUCUAAGUUCGGAUUGGAGUCUGCAACUCGACUCCAUGAAGGAGGAAUCGCUAGUAAUCGCGUAUCAGCACGACGCGGUGAAUACGUUCCCGGGCCUUGUACACACCGCCCGUCACACCAGGAAAGCCAG